GACGGAGGAUGCAAGCGUUAUCCGGAAUGAUUGGGCGUAAAGCGUCCGCAGGUGGCAGUUCCAGUCUGCUGUCAAAGACCGGGGCUUAACUUCGGAAAGGCAGUGGAAACUGAACAGCUAGAGUAUGGUAGGGGCAGAGGGAAUUCCUGGUGUAGCGGUGAAAUGCGUAGAUAUCAGGAAGAACAUCGGUGGCGAAGGCGCUCUGCUGGACCAUAACUGACACUCAGGGACGAAAGCUAGGGGAGCGAAUGGG
rnacentral:rRNA from 1 species